GGUUCUAAGGAUGUUGUUCUACACAUUCGACCUAUCCGGUCGUCAGGUACCAUUGCUAGAUGGUCACUUCGAUUGGUAUAAAAAUUUAUUCCUGUACUACCGGCUUAGGUUCAAACCUAUGAGAUCACACACAUUAGAGUUCAUGAUCCGAUCGGAUGGUUGAUCAACGAUUGAGAAUCAUUCUAGGGUUAAAUGAUCAAUACGAUUGACAUUUAACCCAGUG
rnacentral:lncRNA from 1 species